rnacentral:lncRNA from 1 species
AUGAUAUUACUUUUGUGGUACGCAUGUCUAGUCCUUAUUCUCUCGGUCCUUUCGGUGCGGGGGAUCAUUCCAUACGGGCCGACGGAGGUGCAGCAACUGAGCCCGUGCAACUCGGUGGUCAAGCUCCCCUCCAAUUUCCAAUCGACGACCAUCUUCCAGCUGGACGCGCUCGACCGCCCCGCGCAGCCGGCCGCCGAGGACUUCAACGUCACCAGUUGCGCCUUCAUUUUCGAGGGCCCGCAAAACGCCACGCUCACCUUCCAGCUCUUCGGCGUCACCAUCAUGCGCGACCCCGACUUCCCGAACAACACGGCGCCCUGCUUGGCCACGCCCACCAAGUCAAAUAUCCAGCUCUACGAUUACACCGCUGACGGCAAUCUGCAAUUGAUUUCCAUAAAUUGUCAAAAUGAAACUUGGAGUGAGAGGAUUUCUACCACAAGCAAUAUUGGAGUGUUGACCAGCACCAUCAGUGGACAUUUUGCUCUCUCCGUCCAAAAAGUCUACGCUGCCCAGGAGCUGGGUGAACCAAUAUUGUCCCUACCAUUCAAGUAGUUCCCCUGAAUUCCCUUCUAUCCAUGAAAUGAGGCUCAGACGUUUUACAACCCCCACCAUUAUGCAGUUUUUUGAUACGCGCCCAGGAAAAAUGUGCGAACUACAAGUUUUCUAGCUAUUACUGAUCAUGAACAAUUUCCUAUAACUUAACUGUCUGCUUCCUUUAAUCUGAGCGUGUGCUUGGUGAGUUUACCGUAAUGUUUAACUGUAUCUUCUCCAAAUGAAAUAGGGGGGAAAAUUACUCUUGAAAAUGCAUUACUUGCUCAGGGCAACCCUGACGAUGAUUUAGGAGAGUCACAUUGAGUAGUUUGUUAAACUGGGCCCUGUUCACUCAGAACAUUACUCAUCCAUUAUCAUAACCUCAUGAUGCAGUACUUGGAACCAUGCCCAAUAGUAACAUUUACUCAAUGAAGAGUCAUUAACCGAAGAUAUUUUACAUUUUGUUAAGAAUUCAAAAUUUAAACUCAGAGUCCCACUCUUUGUGGUAUUGAUGAUCGUGAAGUAUUGAUAAUUGAUCCUUAUGGUUCCGUUUUUAAAAUAAUUUUCGAUUCGUUUCUUGACUUUUAUAGUUUACACUAGAAAUGUGUGCGCGUGUGUGCUUUUUUUUUAAAUAAAAAAUGAAAAGUAACUACAAAUUUUGUUUAACUUCCCCAAAAUAGUUUUUACAAUAAAGUCGAGGACCCACAAAAUUUUAAGAAAAAAUAUUCAUAAAUUUGCCAUAUUUAAAUAUUUUACGUGGGGAAAAUUCUGCAGUUUCCAAAUCCUCUGACAGCCUUUUCCGUUAUAUCGACAGAAUGAUCUAGUGUCGCUCUUUGCUUUUAACCAUUUACAUGCACUCAAAACCUAGCAUGUAUGAUCGAGUAUCUAGCCCACGGAUUUGGUCAAACCUCGUGUCAUUGGAGAAAAUUGGGUCGUGCGAGCGUACAUUCUGAAAAUCUCCUUGCAAAGAUCGAAUUUAAGUUCGAUGCACUCAAAAUUAUUGGCAGUUUAGAGUGAAUGUGACUCAAGGUUUAUAUUUUGCACAAUUAAACUGUGAAUCUCAAAGAUAUCCUUUAACUUGAGAAGUGAUUCGAAGAUUCUGAAAAGUGUUAAAACCUUCCUGUUUGAAUUGAAUGUACCAUCACGCUCGUUCUUGAAAUAAACUAAUAAAACUCCAGAUACUUUAUCGAUAGUAAAUGACUUAAAACUAGAGUGAAUCAAAGCUGACUUAAAGGUCCGUCAGUCAACUUUCGAAAUAAUGGCUUACCCGCGUGUGCCACUGCGCGCCGCGCCGCCUCCUAGACAAUGGGAAUUUUCAAAUCGCCUUCAAUUCGGCUCGAGGCAAAUUGCAUGACAGUUAGGUUACUCCUCACGGCGCGGUGAAACUUGAGAGAAGCACAUCGGAGCCGUGAAAUGUUAAGUGAUCAUGAUCGUCCCGAGUCCUGAGAGGUCACUUUGAAGUCCCAAUGAGCGUAGCGAGGUGAUAACAUCAAAUUUGUCAACUAAUGAGCUUUUGCUAAAAACUGCCUUGUCUAUAUAUAGUUAUCGCAUUUAAUUCAAAUGUCAAAUCCGGGAAUGCUCCUCCCAAUUUAAGGAGAUUUUGGUUUCAAAACGAUAAUAUCAUUCGAAAAUCUAGGGCUAAAGAAUGAUGCCGCCUAACUUACAAUUGGGUGUAUUCCUACCAAACGGAACUAUGUGCAUUAUGACGUGAGCCCUGUUAUGCGUAUAUUCUUAUGGGUCUCAGGGCUCAUGUCUCAAUGCACAUAGUAUUCCGUUUCACAGGAAUACGUCAAUUUUGGCGAAAAUGAGUUAGAGACUUUGCCCCAUUCUUCAGUAUUUAAUAUGCAAGCUGAUAUUUUCAGUUUUCCCCAAUUCUGUAUAAAAGUAUUGUAAAGACGCUGCAAUUUAUAAACGAAAAUGCAAAUCUAUAACCUCAAAAUUACAAAAUGGCAAAGUUUCUUCGAAGUUCCUGGAAAAUCGUCAGUUUGCAGGUAGGCGGUACUGUUUCUUAUAGCCAUCGAUAUUACUUUUGUAGUGUUGCAUGUUCUAUAUUUUUGAAGGAAGAAAUUUUGACUGAUUUUUUUUU